rnacentral:rRNA from 1 species
UGCCGGUGAUAAGCCGAGAGAAAGGUGUGGAUGAUGUCCAGUCCUCCUGGCCCUUACGGGCUGGGCUACAGACCUGCUACAAUGGAGGUGACAGUGGGAUGCUAAGGGGCGACCCUUCCCAAAUCUCAAAAAGCCAUCUCAGUUCGGAUUGUACUCUGCAACUCGAGUAAUUGAAGGUGGAAUCCCUAGUAAUCGUAGAUGAUAACGCUACGGUGAAUACCUUGCCGGGCCUUGUACACACCGCCCGU